AUCAACGGUCCCGCCCGCUACCCGCUCGCUGGCAGCCCCGGCCGGCAGCUCCCCCGGCGGCCGCCUCUGCACCACUCGCCAACCUCCACGCCGGGCCGAGGUCAUGCCCGCCUGCCCCCAGCGCCGGGCGGCCCCCUCGUCGGGCCAGGCGGCCGCUCGAGAGCCGGGCUGGGGAAGGGGCCCGCGGCGGAGUUGGCUCGGGGACUCACCAGGAUCCACAAGCAGAAGAGCAGAGGAGCAGAAGAGCUGCACAGCAGAGGAGAGAAGAGAAGGAGCGUCUGAAUGUCGAGAGGAGUGCAGCUGGGGACAGUUGGAGAGGGGAUCGGCUGCCGGAUGGCUGAACUCCAGGGAGAGAUAUUCGUUCUACUCCAUCCCCUCUCCAGCUCCCUAUCUAUCCCACUGAGACCCACCCCUAUCCGGCAAUACAAUUUCCCGC
rnacentral:lncRNA from 1 species